rnacentral:rRNA from 1 species
GUCUUUGGGUAUACCACCCUGAAUGUGCUGGGAUCUCAGAUGAUUAAAAGCUAAGCAGGAACAGGCCUGGGUUAGUACUCGGUUGAAAGAGCACGUGGGAGUGCCAAGUGCUGUAGAAA